UAGAAAAUGGUAAAAUAAAAAAUAUUAAAAAUCAUUUUUAGAAACUAGAAAUUAAAAGAGAAAUAAUGCAAUUGGUCCCAUAUUUUUUGGACCAAUAAUAAGAGAGAUAUGAAUUUUAGAAAUAAAAUGGAAUUAAAAGAAAUAAAGAAAAUAAAAUCAGAAAAUAAGAAAAUACGAGAAAAGGAGAGGCGUUGGAUCCAGUCUCAUUAAUUGAGCUGGCACAUCACACUGCCUCUGAACG
rnacentral:lncRNA from 1 species